AAGAGAACAAUGAUUUAGAAGAGGAUGUAUCUGAAGAAGAAUAUGGGGAAGAAUACAACCCCGAGAACAAUGCAUCACCUUCAGAUGAAGAAGAAAUCCCCCAAGCUGAAAUAGAGACAGCAAAAUAAGACAGUCCUUGUCACCAUAUGACAACCAGGGCAGGAUGGCAGCACAAAAUAUCAUAAUGAUGACCCCAGGGCCCACAAUUCCUGCAGUAGCCCAUGUCCAGGACAUCGCCUCAACAUUCUACAUGUUCAUUACACCAGCCAUUGAAAAGAUCAUCCUGGAGAUGAAAAAUUUGGAGGGUUUACCGUAAAUAAGGAGACAUCUGGAAAAGGAUGGAUAAGAUGAUGACCUGCAAGAUGUGUGAGAGACAAACUGGCGGCCAUAAGAGAGUUCUGGGAGAUGUGGGUGGAGCGUCUGCCAUACUUCUACAACCCUGAGCCUGAAGUAACAGUGGAUAAACAACUGGCUCCAUUCAGAGAGACAGUAUACGCCCAGCAAGCUAGCAAAGUAUGGCGUCAAGAUAUGGGCAGCCUGUGACACACAAUUCAGCUACGCUUGGAACAUGCAAGUCUACACAAAGACAACCAGUGGAGGCCCAGAGAAGAACCAGGAGAUGCGGGUUGUGCUAGAAAGAACAAGCCUGAGCUUCCUCCCUGCACUCCUCGCAACAAGGGGGAGAGAGGCUUUCUCAUCAAAGUUUGCCUUCAUCCCCACCACCACUCUAGUUUUUUUACCUCCCAAAGAGGAACAAGAAUGUGGUCUUCCUGAGCACACUGCACAAAACGGCUGAGAUCAGAGAUCGUGAGGAGAGGAAGCCAGCCCUCAUCCUGGACUACAACCACAACAAAGGAGCUUACAGCUGCAGGAGGAUGACUGCCCACUGGCCCCCUGCUCAUCUUCCAUAACAUUAUUUAUGUGUCCUCAUACAAUGUCUUUGUGAUAUGGAACAAGAUCAACCCUACCUGGAUGCUGGAUAAGCGGAACAAGAGGAGGGUGUUCCUGGAGCAGCUGGGAAAGGCAUUUGUAACCCCACACAUUCAAAGAAGUGAGCGCCUCCCCUGCACAGCAGCCUCUGCAGCGCUUAUGAAAGCUAUUCAGGGGGCUGAAUCUUGUUCUGAUUCACCUGAGGCUGCAGCUGGGGCAGGCAAGAGGAGGAGAUGCCAAUUCUGCUCCCCAAAGAUGGACUGUAAAACAAAUACUGUGUGCUGCAGAUGUGAGGAAUACAUCUGCAAAGUCCAUGCACACACACCUGCAUAUUGUUCUACACUGUCCCACUUAUUAGAGUUGAUUUAUUUAUGCUCCUCAAGUUUUGUUUUGUAUCUGUUAUUUUAUUCUGGUUUAUUGUUGUUUGUUUAUACACCUUGUAGGUAGGGCAAUGGUUCAAAAAUGGGAGAAGACUAGUAUUCUGUAGUUGAAUUCCUUGUUGUACAGUAUAUAAGUUGUACACUAUAUGUUGCCAAAAAAGACUUUCUGCAUAUUUCUGCUACUUUCUUAGGCUAUACAAGUGCUAUCUCUUGCUAAAAAAAAACACAUUUACACCUAUGCAGUACCUUUAGCAAUAAUAAUAGUAAUAAGCCCCUACUUUAGUAAAUAAAACAAUUAUGGCAGACGUGCUAUAAUAAAAAAUGCCCCCAGCGCUCAGAGCAUCCCCAUCGGGUAUUCAGGAGUAUAAUUGAGUUCUGUGUGAACUUUUUUCACCCACAAACAGAUCGAUGUGUAACUGCAAACCUUUGAUGUGUAACUGCAAACAUUUGUGCAAAUCUUCUUUAUGCACUCACACACUGGAAAUUAUUUGUGCAAAUCUUUAUCAUUUGUUCACAAAAUGUCAUACACAGCUACAGAUCUCCUUACGGAUUCAAAAAUUAUAUUUGUUCAGAUUUUUUUUUUUUUACACAUUCAAACAAUUGAAUUUCAUUUGAUCAAAAUGUUUUUACAUAUUCACACAUUUGAAUGUAUUCAUAUUUAAUGUUUUCACAUAUUCACAUACCUAUUUUGAGCCCAUACGGGGGCAAAGUUAUUAGAUUAACAUAUCGUUCUCUAAGAGUCAACAUGGUGAAGGUCUUGAUUUUACAUCUGAGUGACUCAAGCUCAGUUUCAUUUAAGCCUGAAGGUAUAGAAGUGAAGAACUCCUUAGAUUCCCCUAUGGAGGAUAAGAAAGUAUGUGCUGCCUGUUGAACCCACAAACAACAAGCCGUAAGGAAAGCAACACACACAUGCACGCACACACACACACACACACACACACACACACACACACACACACACACACACACA